rnacentral:lncRNA from 1 species
GGAAAUUUGAGUGGAGCUCCUUACAUUCUUCACACCAAUGUGUGUAGCCAAGGCAAAGGAAACAGAGAGCAACAAUUCUAUUUAUGGUUCGACCCAACUUCUGAUUUCCACACCUAUUCCAUUCUUUGGAAUCCACAACGCAUUAUGUAAGCAAGAAACUCCAUCAAAUCUUCAACUUACUUAUUUUCAAGUUGAAUUUUAAUUUUUUUAACUAAUGAUAAACUUUCUCUCCGCUGUUUCAGCUUCUCCGUUGAUGGGACCCCGAUUAGAGAAUUCAAGAACUUGGAAUCCGCAGGAGUUCCAUUUCCAAAAAGUCAACCAAUGAGAAUCUACUCAAGUCUGUGGAAUGCAGAUGAUUGGGCUACAAGAGGUGGUCUUGUGAAGACAGAUUGGAGUCAAGCUCCCUUCACUGCUUCUUACAGGAACUUCAAUGCCAAUGCUUGUGUAUGGUCUAAUGGAGCAUCUUCUUGCGGCACAAAUUCUGCAUCUAACACAACUUCUUGGCUUUCGGACGAGCUUGAUUCAACAAGUCAAGAGAGGCUCAAAUGGGUGCAAAAGAAUUACAUGAUCUAUAAUUAUUGCACGGAUGUUAAGAGAUUUCCACAAGGAAUCCCUACAGAGUGCAAACUGUCAUAAUUCAAAACCCAGAUAAUGCAUACACAGUAUAUAUAUCCAUGAGUGUGUUCCAUUAUUUUAUUGUUUUUGUUAUUUGCCAUAGAUAGAUGUCCAUUAUUUGUUUGUAUUUUUUUUCAUCAAUAAAUACGUUUUUGGCAUGCAUAUUAUAUAAUUUCAAAAGGGCAUGUCGGAACAUGGUGGAGCAUAUUACAAAUAUAAAGUAUUCAGACGUCUACACAUUAUUAUUGGGUAAAUGGUUUCGGCUUACGAUUAUUUAGACUCAAUAAUAAAUUGACAUCUGUAAUUUUCAAUUAAAGCGUUGUGGUUCAAGCAUUUUGGUCAUUAAAUUGCAGUUCUAUUUAUUUAUUUAUUUAUUUUGUACAUAAGAGAUGAAAAGAACACUAAAACUAUUUUUUUUUAAUUCACUGGAAGGCCUGUUAGGCUGAAAUAAUAUUGCAGUUAUAUAGCCCUUCUCUAGAUUUAUCAAAUUAGAAAAAAUACUUGUGUUUGAGAGCAGUCGAACUUGAGAUCUCUUACAUCACAUCAGACCAUACUUAAUUGGCUUAAAACCUAAACUAUUUAGAAUAAUUUAAGAGUAAAUGUAUUGGAUUAGGACCGUAUAAGAUUUUAAAAAAAUUAUUGAGUUUGAUAGAAUUAAAGAAUUUCCACGGCUCAUGUGAAAAUCAAAGAAUGAGACUAACAGGAGGAUGCAGGCUCAUCUGCACUAAAAUUAACAUAUUGAAAAGUUAAAUAACAGUUCUAAUUUUAAUUAUUUUGCUUUUUUUAUUAAAAAAAUUAAUUUAUUUUAUUAAUAUAAUAAAAAAAAUUAAUUCAAGCAAGCUAAUCCGAGUCAAAAAAACUUCUCUAGUACACUCAAAACCGAACUUGAAAAAGUUAAGCGAAAAACCGCAAUAGCUGUGUAACAUCAAAACACAGGAAAAAAAAAAAUCCAAACUAUUUUCUUGAGUUAAACCUUUGUCUAUAUCUUUGUUAAUCAUGUUAAUUGAACUAUACUUGAUGUGAUUUUAUGUUAAUUUAACUUGAUACUGUUAUUCCUCUUAAUUUGUAGAAUUUUAAUUCUAAAAUAAUAAAAGCUUUUCAUUUUUCUUUUUUUCAAUGAUUAUUAAUAGUCUAUAAUAUAUUUAAUUUAAAAAAUAUUUCAAAACUAUUCAUUUUCUUAAUAGAAUAUUUUUCUAUUAUAGAGCAUAAUAUUUUCUUUUUCACUUUUGACUUAAUAUUUUUAGAGUUGACUUGUUUAUUUAUUUAUUUGACAUUAGAGGUGACUUGUUUAUUAAUAAGCAAUAAUAUGUGUAUUGAAUUAAUGAUAAUACUCUUCCCUGUAUUUAUGAUAAUGUGUCCUUUUUUGUUAUUGGAGAAUUUUACAAUUUUAAUAAUUUCCUUUAGUUAUGGACGUUUUGUGCAUCAAGUGGUAUUACUAUUUUUUCUUAUUAACAUUGAAUUUUUAAUCAGAAAAUUAUUAUUUACUCCCUUUAUUAUAAUAAAUUACACUAAUCAGAACCUAUGUUUUUUAAAAUUAAUUUGAUAAUUCUUUUAUUUUAAUUCUGUCUAACUAUAUACCCGUCCAUUAAUUUUUUACUCUUUUUCAUGAAUUGAAAAGAAAAACUGAAAUUGAUAAUUUAUUUAUUAAAAUACCCUAGAAUUUUAUCUUAAAAAAAAAGAAAAUGAACAAAAUAAAAAAUUAUACUAAAUGAAACAUCAUACAACUAUUUAAUUUUCUCUACAAAUCAAUCAAAAAUGCAAAAAUCUCCAAUGAACCGAAUAAAUCGACCGUACGAAAUAAAAAUAGUUAUCUGAUGAUCAAAAGCAUCAAUCAGGUGACAGUCACUCACCAACCCUGCGUUGCAUUUAUGCGAAACCGCGUCUCUUGUCGCAUAAUGUCUUUUUAGUGCGCUAUAUUUUAUUCACAACUACAACUGGGCACAGCUGAGGGCUUAUACCGUCACUGGACCUUCCUAUGCCUUUCCUUUUCAAAUUCAAAUGGGUAUAAAUACCAGCCUAUCUCCUCAUUUACAACAUACUAGUUCUUUCUUUUACUCUAUAAACAUUACACAUAUAGUUUCUUAAUAUUUCUGAGUUCAACAUCAAGAAAAACUCAUCAUGGCUUCGAAUAGUUCUUUAAUGCUGCUAAUGCUUCUUGGCAUCUUCUCUUCCAUGGCAGCUGCAAAUUUCUACCAAAAUUUUGACAUUACAUGGGGAGAUGGCCGUGCUAAGAUUCUCAACAACGGAGACCUUCUUACGCUAAACCUUGACCAAGCUUCUGGUUCUGGAUUUCAAUCCAAAAAUGAGUAUUUAUUUGGACAAAUUGAUAUGCAACUCAAGCUUGUACCUGGCAACUCCGCCGGCACCGUCACUGCCUAUUAUGUAAGUACUUUUUUCUUCCUUUUUGAUUUUUGUUGUAAUUUUUCAAGUAUGUAUUCAUUUUGACUAAUAAUACCUGUGAAUUUGCAGUUAUCCUCAAAAGGGUCUACUUGGGAUGAGAUAGACUUUGAGUUCUUGGGAAAUUUGAGUGGAGAUCCUUACCUUCUUCACCCCAAUGUUUUUAGCCAAGGCAAAGGAAACAGAGAGCAACAAUUCUAUUUAUGGUUCGACCCAACUGCUGAUUUCCACACCUAUUCCAUUCUUUGGAAUCCCCAACGCAUCAUGUAAGCAAGAAACUCCGUCGCAUCUUCAGCUUUGUUCUUUUUAACUUUAAUUCUAAUUUCUUUAUUAAUAAUAAACUCAUUAUCCUCUGUUUCAGCUUCUCCGUUGAUGGGACCCCAAUUAGAGAGUUCAAGAACUUGGAAUCCGCUGGAGUUCCAUUUCCAAAGAGUCAACCAAUGAGAAUGUACUCAAGUCUGUGGAAUGCAGAUGAUUGGGCCACAAGAGGUGGUCUUGUGAAGACAGAUUGGAGUCGAGCUCCCUUCACUGCUUCUUACAGAAACUUCAACGCCAAUGCUUGUAUUUGGUCUAAUGGAGCAUCUUCUUGCAAAUCUAAUUCACCUUCCGGUAGUAAUGUGUGGCUGUCACAAGAAUUAGACACAAACAGUCAAGAUAGGCUCCAGUGGGUACAAAAGAAUUACAUGAUCUAUAAUUACUGCACAGACACUAAAAGAUUUCCUCAAGGCAUCCCUCCAGAAUGCAGCAUGUCAUAGAAGGCUGAGAAGGACAUAACAUUCAAUACAAUUUUUGUUUUUCUUUUUCAACAUAUCUUGAUUCUUUUUCUUUACAUUCUUUUGUUCUAUGCAAUUAGAUAUGACAAAAUUCGUUCUAUGUAAAGCUGCUUUGAAUCUUGAUUAAUGCUAUUUGUUCAUUAUCUCCAUUGAGAUCUUCAUAUCCAGGUUGGAAUGAAGCAUAUAUGAGCAACUUAAGGACAAGAGAUUUGAAAUUCGAUAACAUGAGUCUAGCUUUUCUUCAAAUUGCAUAAUUCAGAAGUACAAGUAAAAAAUUAGGCAAGGUAGUGGCGAGAUCGCCCUCCAACUGAAAGCGAGAACUUUUGUCAAACAGCUGGUCUGCAGUUUGUUUGCAGUGUGCUCUGAAAAAUGUUAGUUUCUUUUUUGGUGUGUUCUGUUAACUAAAGACGCAUGCCGCUAAAUGGAAAUCAAUAUAGGAUGCAUAAUUUGCUCAAUUAAGAAAAUGAAUUUACAUACAGUUUUUGCACAAACAAAAGAUAAACCAAUCUGAACAGUAAUUUAAUGAAAUGUAGAGAGCCAUCAUAAUUUUCGCUUGAGAAAGUGCUAGUCUUAGGUCGUAUAUAGCUUUUAUGCUAUAUACUUAUAGCCAUCCAAUUCCAGUAAGAACAGAUCAUUUUUAUUAUACCCCCAACUUUACGGCUUAUUAUAAUUACACUCUAAAACCAACCCAACUGACAGACACUCCAGAAUCUGCAGUUCUUGCUGCACUUGGGUUGGCGGUGUUGCAUCUUCAAUCCCUUCUCUCUAGUCUAUGCUUCUCUCCUACCUUGGUUGUCCUCUGUCUUCCUCUCCCACCGCCUUUUGGCAUCUAGCAUCCAGGUCUGAGAGAGAGGGAUUUUGAGAUGAGAUCCAUGAAGGAGGGGUAGAGAAGGGAGAGAUGAAACGGUAAGGUUUCUUUUGUUCCUUUAAACAAAACUCACCGUUUCACUUAACUGGGAUGGUUAAGUGAACUCAACAAAGUCCAACGGGUCCCAGAAAUAAUAAUAUUAUAACGUCUAAUUUUGACCAAAACCAAAAUGGGGCACAAUUUUGACAAAAAUAUAAAAAUAAGGUGCCUUAAAGUUGGUUUUGGGGUGUAAUCUGUGACGAAGUGUAAAAUGGAGGGUACAAAUGAUGGUUUACCCAAGAAUAGACCGAGUGCCAUCCAAUUCCCUUGGGAUAGCUUCAGUCAAAACCUAGUACUUUAAUCUUAAGACUAAAACCCACAAGGUAUUAGGAUUUUUAAGUAAAUGCCAACCAAUCUUUAUAAAAAAAAAAAAAAAAAAAUGAAGAUGUUUUUGCAAUGGAGAUGGAGAGAAGGAUGCUUAAUUUCUUAUUGCUUACCAAAAACAACAGUACAUAACAAUAUAUGUAUAUUUGGGGCAAGGACUACUUAGUACAGGAAACUAAGAUGAACAUUUGAAAUUUGACUUAACCCCAAAAUUAAUACUUCUUCUGUUUUAUUUUGUUUGCUUGUUAUUCUUUUUUGAAAAUGUCCAAAAAUAUUUACAAGGUUUCUAAAAGCAUUUAGUACGUUAUUGCGUGUAGGUGGUUAGGGAUAUAAGGUCUUGGAUAAAAUUGAUCAGCAUCUUCCCUCAAAAUAUUAGAUAUUAUCGUUGAUUUAUCAUCAAACUCAAGUGCCCCUUGGGUUCACCCUUCGCUAUGGUUUUAUAUACUUAGACAAUUAUUUUUUUCCAUUGUAACAUAUAUGAUUGUUCAUUAAUGAAUGAUUUUUACUAAUAUCUUAAUGAGUGAAGAGUAAAAUGAUUUUUAUUGAUUAAAUUUUUAAUAUGCGUGUUUUUUGAAACCAUGCAAAUAAAAUAGGAUGGAAAAAGUACAUCAUUAAAUUUAAACCGUAUACUUUUUUUUUUUAUUUUAACCACAAGGAUCCCCGUCCAGGAAAGGACCGAGGGGCUAUGCCCCUGCAAAUUAAAAAGUUUUUAAAAUUUUUAGUGUGAAAUGUUUGGAAAAAAAUAUAUUUGAAUUUUGCUCCCUAUAAUUAGUAAAAAAUUUUUUGGUCCCCCUAACUAUUUGGGCUGAUUUUGUCAUUGUUCCGAACCCACUGGAUUAAAACUAAAUCCUACUUGCACCGAAUCGGCCCACUACAGCGAGUAUUUACUUCAUCCAUGAGAAUUAAACCUUUCGAUCUCAAUUAAGAGAGAAGAAUGCCGAACCACUCAUCCCAACGUUUAUUUGUGAUAAACCAUAUACUUUAUGCCAAGCAAAAAUAUCAACACAUAUUCCAAAACUUAGACCAUCGUACAUAAUUUAUUUUUUGCAAAGUUCAUUUGUGAAUGAUGGACUGGUUGAGCAUGAUUUUUUUUUUUUUUUCUAAUGGAAAAAUUCUCUUGUUUUAUCUUUUGGAAGAACCAAAUGGAGAUUAUUGAGGUUCGUAGAAUACAUAUUUGACAAAGCACACAGAGAAUGACCUUUUUUGCAGUACAAACAAUUUUUUUUUUCCCUUUCAUUUUCAUUGCAUAUCAGCUGAGGAAUUUUAAGAAAAAGCAGAUAAGGAGAUUUCUGAACCAACUUGGCAAUUGGCAUGACUUAUUAGUGCAUGCUUCACAAAUAUGCUGACAAUAUUUUAAUUACUUUGACAGUAAAGGAGUUUAAAAAAAAAAAAAAAAGCAAACAAGCAAAUUGUUUUUCUUUUUUUUUUUUUUUUAAAUGGUAAUCCAUUAACAAUCUUAUGUUGAGAAAUGAUCUUAAUAGAAUAAAUUAUUCUUUAUUCUUUGAGUUGUAAUUGUUUUUUUUUUUUUUAAUUUAGAGAUCAGGUUAGGCAUCAAAUUGAAAACAAUUUAAAUUGUUAAGAGAAUAUUUUGGGUUACACAGCUGAGAUAGUCCUUUUCUUUAUCGAGAGAUGUUGAAUAUGUACUUGAUAGUGGGUCAGUUUGGUUCGGUUUAAAUAUAAUAAUCAAACCAAACUUAAAGUGGUGGUUUGAAAAAAAUUAAAAUCAAAAUCAAAUCAUGAAAAAUUUCAAACCAAACCUAAUCUUCGGCGACAGUUUGAUUUGAUUUGGUUUGGUUUGACAGUUUGAAAUAAGAGAAAUUAAACUUCCUUGUUCAUCUAGUUAAUAAAUAUAUAUAUAAAAAAAAAGAUUAACAUUAUUCUAAAUAUGAAAAAUGAAUUGAUAAAAACUAUGCCAUAAAAUACACAUGAUUUUGAAUAGCUAUUAUGAGUUUUUAAAUUUAUAUAUAUACUUUGUAUAGUAUAAAAAAUAUUAUUUAUUUAGAAAGAUAAUAAUUAAGCAAUUUAUAAAUAUAGAAUUUAAAUUUGAUUUAAUUAUAUCUAUUACUAGAAAUUAUAAAAAAAUUAUAAUUUUACUCACAUAUAGUUUAUAUAUAUAUACAUGAAUGUUUAACAUUUGAAUAUUUUAUAAAAUAAUUAUACAACUUAUCUAAUCAACAAGAAAUUAUUAUUCAAUUAUUAUCCAAUAUAACAAAUCUCAUAAUUUACUAUCCAAUAUAAAGUAAUUAAUACAACAGAAAUUUUCAUUAAAAAAAUUGAAUUGUAUUGAAAAAUUCAAAAUACAUAUAUAUAAUUAUACAUGGAUGUUUCAUUUGGUUUGGGUGGUUUGAUUCCAAAAACAUAAACCAAACCAAAAGCUCGGUUUGGAUGGUUGUGACUGUAAAAUCAUAAACCAAACCAAAAGCUAGGUUUUUAAAUUUUAUAAAAUCAAAUUAAACCAUCAAUCUUUUAAUUAAAACCGCAGUUUUAAUUCGAUUUGAAUCGAUUUGGACGGUUUAGGCAGUUUGAUGAACACUCUUACGUAUGGUUGUCAGAAAAUACUUGUAAAUAAUCGGCAUGAUGGGUUCCAUAUUAUGUAUAAACAAGUCAGACCCAAAUGUUACAUGUGGCCUUAAUAUAAUUUGAGCUUUUGGUGCUUUUCACCAUAAUAUAUACUAUUUUUGUAAUUUCUGAUUCUUUUCACAUCUCUAAAGAUUUCACAUAUAAAUUUAAUAUACAAAAUUAAAGGUGGAUUUGGACGGAAAAGAGUAAAGAAAUGCAUCACUCGUGAUGCAUAAAGCUUUUGAUCAGUGGAGAUUUAUUUUAAUGACACCCCAUAAUACAUAAAGCUUCAUGAACCAGUAAAAGAAGAGAGCGAGUUGAAUAGAUGCUGAUUUUUCUGAUAGAAAGCUAAUAAAAAAACGUUUUCUUUUUUAAAAAUAUUAUUAUUUUUUCGGUGUAUAAUUAAAUAUAUUCUGGUUUGUAAUUAAUUUGGUAUAUAAAUGGGCUCAUAUCCCAUGUAAGUAAAUUUUUUUAUUAAAAUUACGGAUUCAAUGUAUAAAAAUUGAAAAUAAUGGAUAAGCAAAAAUUAAAAGAAGAUAAAAUAGCAAAUCUUUUUUUUUUUUUAUUUAGAACUAACAGGUGUAAUCCCUCUUCGGCCAUUUAAGUGUAUUUUAGAAGAAUCUAACUUAUUUUAUUGACUGAAUUACCCUUUAGUCAAUACUCAAUUAAUUGAAACUUUGGUGUAGAUAUCUAAACAAGUAAAAUUGAAAUAAAUAAUUAAAUGAUAUUUUAAUUUUCAAAAAGUGUCAUCUAAAUGGUAUAAAAAAUAAAAAAAAAACUGUCAAAUUUAACGAAACAGAUAAUGCUAACAAAAGAAAGUGACAACUACAAACGCAAAAUGAAAAUUUUGUGAGGUUGAUUAACAUCUUUAUAUCAAGAUUAUGCAGUUUAUCAAAAAUACUUAUCGCAUUUGGGUAUUUAAUUUCUCUUAAAAAAAUUAUUUAAUUUUUCUAAAUUAUAAUAAAUUAUUAAAUGGAUUGAUGAAAUACUUUUAAUUUAAUAUUUGAGUUGAAACCAUUCAACUACUUGUGUACAAAUAAUAAAAAAAGAAAAAAGUUUAUUAUUUAUUAAAUCCACGUAUCUGACAACUAUGCAUUUGGUUUUUGCACGGAUCCUUACAAAAUGAAAGAUACUAAUGCAAGAAUCGAAAGCAUCAACCAGGUGACAGCCACACGCCAACCCUGCAUUGCAUUAAUGCGAAACCGCGUCUCGUGUCGCUUAAUGUCUUUUUGGUGCGCUAUAUUUUAUUCACAGUACAACUGUCCAGCUGAUGACUAUACUGAACCUUCCCAUGCCUUUUCCUUUUCAAAUUCAAAUGGGUAUAAAUACCAUCAUCGUCUCAUCUUAUCUCCACACUUGUAACAUACCAGUUCUUUCUUUUACUCUAUACAUUGUAUACGCAGUUUCUUGCUAUCCCUUAUUUCAACAUCAAGAAAAAUUUAUCAUGGCUUCACAUAGUUCUUUAAUGCUGCUAUUGCUUCUUGGCAUCUUCUCUUCCAUGGCAGCUGCAAAUUUUUACCAAAAUUUUGACAUUACAUGGGGAGAUGGCCGAGCUAAGAUUCUCAACAAUGGAGACCUUCUUACGCUUAAACUUGACCAAGCUUCUGGUUCUGGAUUUCAAUCCAAAAAUGAGUAUUUGUUUGGACAAAUUGACAUGCAACUCAAGCUUGUCCCUGGCAACUCCGCUGGCACCGUUACUGCCUAUUAUGUAACUAUUUCUUUCUCUCUUCUUUUUUUUUUUUUUUUUUUUUUUUGCUGUAAAUUUUUAAGUAUAUAUGUAUUCAUUCUGACUAAUAAUACUUGUGAAUUUGCAGUUAUCGUCAAAAGGGUCUACUUGGGAUGAGAUAGACUUCGAGUUCUUGGGAAAUUUGAGUGGAGAUCCUUACAUUCUCCACACCAAUGUGUUUAGCCAAGGCAAAGGAAACAGAGAGCAACAAUUCUAUUUAUGGUUCGCCCCAACUGCUGAUUUCCAUACCUAUUCCAUUCUUUGGAAUCCCCAACGCAUCAUGUAAGCAAGAAACUCUGUCAAAUCUUCAGCUUUUUGUCUUUUUAUCUUCAAUUUUAAUUUCUUUACUAAUAAGACAAUCUUCCUGCUCUGUUUUCAGCUUCUCCGUUGAUGGAACCCCAAUUAGAGAGUUCAAGAACUUGGAAUCCAUUGGAGUUCCAUUUCCAAAGAAUCAACCAAUGAGAAUAUACUCUAGUCUCUGGAAUGCAGAUGAUUGGGCUACAAGAGGUGGUCUUGUGAAGACAGAUUGGACUCAAGCUCCCUUCACUGCAUCUUACAGAAACUUCAAAGCAAAUGCUUGUGUAUGGUCUAAUGGAGCGUCUUCUUGUGGCACAAAUUCUGCAUCUAACACAACUUCUUGGCUUUCCGACGAGCUUGAUUCAACAAGUCAAGAGAGGCUCAAAUGGGUGCAAAAGAAUUACAUGAUAUAUGAUUACUGCGCUGAUGAUAAGAGAUUUCCGGAAGGAUUCCCUACGGAAUGCAGCAUGUCAUAAAAGAACGACGACAUACUGUUCAAUACAAAAAAAUUUUUCUUUUCUUUUUUAAUUUUUCAACAUAUGUUGAUUCUUUCUUUUUCUUUUCCCAUUCUUUUGCUCUAUUUAAUUGGAUUUAACAAAAUUAUUUCUACUAUGAUGUUUUGUUCAAUCUUAAAGAUGUUUUGAUGAAUGCUAUCCAGGUUGGAACGAAGCAUGGAUAGCAGAGCAACUAAAUUGGGAUAAGAGAUCUGAACUUUGAGAAUAUGAAUUUGAAUUUUAAGUUGCAUAAUUUAAAAAGAUUAAACAAGAUUUUUUACUUUACAAACUCAACCUCCCUCAAUAGCCUAUUGAACCGAACCAAAUGAAUCGAUUCAACACUCUUAAUUGCAAUUAUAAACACAGUUUUUUUUUAAAAUAAAUUUAUAUUUUUAAAUUCAGAAAACGUAUACAAGGUAUUCUUGUUAUUUAUGUACUUUUUUUAAAAAAAAAUUUCAAAUCUAAUUCUUAUGACAUCAUAUAUAGGCAUGUCAAGGGUUAAGUGAUUUUGGUUAGAUUCUGGUUUAAACUAAAAUUGACUAGUGUGAAUAAAUAAUAAUAAUAGAUUAACGAUAAAUAGCAAAUUAGGUCAAAGAAGGCAUAAACAAGCGCCUAACAAUUACUUUUUUGAAAAAUAAUUAUUUAGUCCUUCAGGUUUUACAAAUUUAAUUUUCUGAUCCUUAUACUUUAUACAUUAAGUAUUUAGCCUUAAACGUUUAAUUCAUCUCAUUAAAAGGUUUUUCGUCCGAAAUUCAUAGUUUUUAUUGUUAAAAGAGUGUGAAAAGACAAAUUACCUUGGAACAGAAAGAUCAAAACCCUUCACCUGUUAAAAGAAGACUAAACAAAAUUCACAAAAGUUCAAUUUUAAGAACUGAUUUACAAAUUUUAACUAUCAAAAUAUGCUCAAAGCAGAUGUUUUUCUAAUAGUCCAAGAGAGUUGAUUUUACAAAUAAGUAAACCAUUAAAAUACUCUAAACUUUGCAUCUUAUAACAAUUGCACUUUAAAUUCAACUUAAUGCCUCAGACACUCUAAUUAUAACUUUUUAUUAUAAUUGUACCUUAAUUUGAAAUUGGUGAAAAUUAGUGAAUAAAACAUAAUAAAUAUGGGUCCCAUAACUAAAAUUUCAGUGGAUUAACCCAAGGAAUGAGUUGGUUAAACUAUAUAAUACUCCAAACUUUGGUUAUUAGAACAAUUGUACCCAAAACGAUCCUAAUCCCUUAGAUACCCUAAUUUUAACUUUUUGUCACAACUACAUCUCAAAUUCAAAUUAUGACAAAUAUAAUGCUAUAAUUGCACCUUGAUUCAAAUUAGGGUCACAUUCAAUUACAAUUUCACUCUAAAUUCAGACUUCUUAAUGGAAUAAAUCCUAGAUUACUAGAGAAGAAGUGACCAAGAAGAGAUGAGUUCGGAAUAAAGUAAAUUAUAACAAACAUAUAAUCAUAAUUACACCCUAAAUUCAAAAUUUCAUCUCAUAUUGAUAUGCAAACCAUAGUUUACUCGAGAAAAUAUAUUGUCCCACAAAAAUAAUCUUAAACCUCCAAACACAAACUGCGACUAUAGAAAUUGUGAGUCACACAUUUUACACAUUAGGUUAGUUUAAUUUGAAGAGUUGGUUAAGUGAAAUGGUGUGUUUCAUGAACCUCUUCUAUCAAGCCAUUAUGAAACGUUUUACUUUAUUCUGAACUCAUCUUCUAUUGAUUACUUCUUCUCUAUUAAUCUAGGAUUUCUAUAUAAAAAUAAGAUAAAAUUUGAAUUUAAGGUGAACUUAUAUUAAAUGUGACCCUUAGUUUGAAUUUAGGGUGCAAUUAAAACAUUAUAUUUGUCAUAAUUUGAAUUUGAGAUGCAGUUGUGACAAAAAGUUAAAAUUGAAAUAUUUAAAGAUUAUUGUCGUUUUGGAGUACAAUUGUUACCAUAACUAAAGUUUGGGGUAUUAUAUAAUUUAGCGAACUCAUUCAUUGGGUUAAGUUAACUCAAGUAUGUGUUGUGGAGCCCAUAUUUAUUAUAUUUUUUUCACUAACUUUGAUGAAUUUCAAAUUAGGGUACAAUUAUAACAAAAAGUUACAAUUGGAGUGUUGAAGAGUUAAAUUGGAUUAAGAGUGCAAUUGUUACCAGACACAAAGUUUAGAGUUUUUUUAAUGGUUUACUCUUUUGCAAAUAACCCAUAACUGAGAAUUUCUAUUUAGUUUCAGAGAUUCACAAACAAAUAAAUGACCUAGUUUUUGAAAUGUAAUUUAUUAAGUUAAAUCUCAAAAUGAAUAUUCGGGUCUUAAUUUAUAAAAGAGUUGAGCAAAAGCAUAAUAUCAAAAAAUAGCAAUAAUGAGCCACAAUUAACAAUAAUGAAUAACAGAAAUAAUAUUUGGUUCUAAUCACAUCUGUUUUAUUUGAUUUAAAUAAUAUUUUCUUUUUCAUUGAGGGCACCUUUGGUCAUUAAAAAAAUUAUCUUAUGUCCUCUAUUUUGUCUUUUUGUACUUUUUUAAUUGUAAAUAUCAUGAAUUUCAGAGGGAAGAACUCUCGAUGAGAUGGAACCCAACCUUCAGGACUAAAUAUCUAACAUAUAAAAAUAUAAAGGCAAAAUAAUUAAUUCUGUAAAUACUCAGUGACUAAAUAAUUAGUUUCCCUUACUUUUUUAUUCUUCAAAACAGUUUCCAUGAAAAAUGUUUUUAGAUUUCAUAGUUGAAAAGAAUAAUUUACUGUGGUUUACGGAAAGGUAUAAACCUUCACAGCUAACUCUGAUCAACGGCUUUCUGUCGAGCUCAGACAGUAUUUGGUUUUGCACUUUCGCACGGAUCCUUACAAAACGAUCGAAAGCAUCAGGUCAGGUGACAGUCACACACCAACUCAACGCGUUUCGCGUCACGUAAUGUCUCUUUAGUGCGCCAUAUUUUAUUCACAACUACAACUGGCCACAGCUGAUGACUAAUACACCGUCACCGGACCUUCUUCCUUCCUUUGCCUUUCCUUUUCAAAUUCAAAUGGGUAUAAAUACCAACAUCAACUCAGCCUAUCUCCUCACUAAAAAAUCCUUUCUUUUACUCUAUACGUAGUUUCUAGCAAUCCUUGAGUUACCUAUCGAGAAAAAUUCAUCAUGGCUUCACAUAAUUCUUUAAUUCUGGUAAUGCUUCUCGGCAUCUUCUCUUCCAUGGCAACUGCAAAUUUCUACCAAAAUUUUGACAUUACAUGGGGAGAUGGCCGUGCUAAGAUUCUCAACAAUGGAGACCUUCUUACGCUUAACCUUGACCAAGCUUCUGGUUCUGGAUUUCAAUCCAAAAAUGAGUACUUAUUUGGACAAAUUGACAUGCAACUCAAGCUUGUCCCCGGCAACUCCGCCGGCACCGUCACUGCCUAUUAUGUAUGUACUUACUCUCUCUCUCUCUCUCUCUUUUUUCUGCAACUUUUCAAGUUUGUAUUCGUUUUGACUAAUAAUACCUGUGAAUUUGCAGCUAUCCUCAAAAGGGUCUACUUGGGAUGAGAUAGACUUUGAGUUCUUGGGAAAUUUGAGUGGAGAUCCUUACAUUCUUCACACCAAUGUGUUUAGCCAAGGCAAAGGAAACAGAGAGCAACAAUUCUAUUUAUGGUUUGACCCAACUGCUGAUUUCCACACCUAUUCCAUUCUUUGGAAUCCCCAACGCAUCAUGUAAGCAAGAAACUCCGUCGCAUCUUCAGCUUUGUUCUUUUUAACUUUAAUUCUAAUUUCUUUAUUAAUAAUAAACUCAUUAUCCUCUGUUUCAGCUUCUCCGUUGAUGGGACUCCAAUUAGAGAGUUCAAGAACUUGGAAUCCGCUGGAGUUCCAUUUCCAAAGAGUCAACCAAU